UUUAAAGUGUAAUGUAAGUCGCUUUGGAUAAAAGCGUCUGCUAAAUGACAUGAA
rfam:Gasterosteus aculeatus cont1.003855, whole genome shotgun sequence.